UAUAUCUCAUGUGUACAUAAAUUCAGUGAUCAAUUAUUUCUUGUUUCUAUAGAAUUCUUGAUGGGAUUUUUGUUUAUACAACUUUUAGCUUUUAUGUGACUAUUUUGAUCAACUUGUUUUGUGAGCUUUUGAUGUUUGAUCAAAGACCCAUAUGUGAUUUCUCUUGUUUGCUUGUUUCUCAUAUCUAGACUUGACUGGGUUUUGAUCAAGAUUAUAGAUUUUGUUCUUCAAGACCCUGUUGGAAUAUGCCUGUAUGGUAUCUUUUCAAUUGCUCAUGUUUGCUUCACUGUAUGGAAUUUGAUUGGGUUUGAAACUUCUUUUAGAUUUUUCGGUGGUUUUGGACUAGGGUAUAUUAGAUACAUCUGCAACCUGUAUGCUAUGUCAAGCUUUG
rnacentral:misc_RNA from 1 species